UUCAUGCAAAGAAAAGCCAAGUUUGCUCAAUCGCUCGAUUUGUUCGAUCAUGUACAAUACAUAUCGAUGACCGAUGCUUCCUCCCUCAUCUGAGCAUUGAAAAUAGCAUAACUAGUCUUGUACCGCUCAACAUCAUCGAGAGUACCAAAAGACUCUCUCAACAUCUUGAGCAUGUCUUCUGGCUGAGCUUCUUCAAACUUGCAAUUGAACUCAUUGUUCAUGGCAAACCACAUUAUACAACAAACCAUGGUGUGGUUGUU
rnacentral:lncRNA from 1 species